AUACCAUGGAGGGGACAAUCCCUUAACAACUCUUUGAAUCUUUCCCAGGCAUCAAAUAAGGAUUCAUCAUCUCCUUUUAUAAAUGAAUUAAUCUCAUUCCUCAUCUU